rnacentral:rRNA from 1 species
CCCUUAGAUGUUCUGGGCCGCACGCGCGCUACACUGAUGCAUUCAACGAGUUUCUUCCUGGUCCGAGAGGAAUGGGUAACCUUUUGAAAGUGCAUCGUGAUAGGGAUAGACUAUUGCAAUUAUUGGUCUUCAACGAGGAAUUCCUAGUAGACGUAGUUCAUCAGACUGCAUCGAUUACGUCCCUGCCCUUUGUACACACCGCCCGUCGCUCCUACCGAUUGAAUGCUCAGGUGAGCCAUUCGGACCUUCAUCAUGCCGGUUUCCGGUUUUGAUGAGGGAAAGUCUUGCGAACCUUAUCAUUUAGAGGGAGGAGAAGUCGUAACA